rnacentral:rRNA from 1 species
GAUGAACGCUAGCGGCAGGCUUAAUACAUGCAAGUCGAGGGGCAGCACGGUUAGCAAUAACUGGUGGCGACCGGCGCACGGGUGCGUAACACGUAUACAAUCUACCUUAAACAGGGGAUAGCCUUUCGAAAGAGAGAUUAAUACCCCGUAAUAAAUUGAACGGCAUCGUUUGAUUUUGAAAGCUCCGGCGGUUUGAGAUGAGUAUGCGUCUGAUUAGCUAGUUGGUGAGGUAACGGCUCACCAAGGCGACGAUCAGUAGGGGAUCUGAGAGGACUAACCCCCACACUGGUACUGAGACACGGACCAGACUCCUACGGGAGGCAGCAGUAAGGAAUAUUGGUCAAUGGAUGCAACUCUGAACCAGCCAUGCCGCGUGCAGGAUGACGGCCCUAUGGGUUGUAAACUGCUUUUAUACAAGAGAAAACCCUGGUACGCGUACCAGGUUGAUAGUAUUGUAAGAAUAAG